rnacentral:rRNA from 1 species
GACGAACGCUGGCGGCGUGCCUAAUACAUGCAAGUCGAGCGGACGGAUGGGAGCUUGCUCCCAGACCGUCAGCGGCGGACGGGUGAGUAACACGUGGGCAACCUGCCUGUAAGACUGGGAUAACUCCGGGAAACCGGGGCUAAUACCGGAUAACUCUUUCCCUCACAUGAGGGAAAGCUGAAAGAUGGCAUCUCGCUAUCACUUACCGAUGGGCCCGCGGCGCAUUAGCUAGUUGGUGAGGUAACGGCUCACCAAGGCGACGAUGCGUAGCCGACCUGAGAGGGUGAUCGGCCACACUGGGACUGAGACACGGCCCAGACUCCUACGGGAGGCAGCAGUAGGGAAUCUUCCGCAAUGGACGAAAGUCUGACGGAGCAACGCCGCGUGAGUGAUGAAGGUUUUCGGAUCGUAAAACUCUGUUGUCAGGGAAGAACAAGUACCGGAGUAACUGCCGGUACCUUGACGGUACCUGACCAGAAAGCCACGGCUAACUACGUG